rnacentral:rRNA from 1 species
UGAGGGAUUUUCGGCAAUGGGCGAAAGCCUGACCGAGCGACGCCGCGUGAGCGAAGAAGGCCUUCGGGUCGUAAAGCUCUGUCUAGGGGGACGAGAGAGGACGGUACCCCUGGAGGAAGCCACGGCUAACUACGUGCCAGCAGCCGCGGUAAUACGUAGGUGGCGAGCGUUGUCCGGAAUUACUGGGCGUAAAGGGCGCGCAGGCGGUACGUUAAGUCCAAGGUGAAAUCCCACGGCUCAACUGUGGGGGGACCCUGGAUACUGGCGUGCUGGAGUGCGGGAGAGGGAAGCGGAAUUCCACGUGUAAUGGUGAAAUGUGUAGAUAUGUGGAGGAACACCGGUGGCGAAGGCGGCUUCCUGGACCGUAACUGACGCUGAGGCGCGAAAGCUGGGGGAGCGAACAG